UGACGAGGUAUUCAAUUUACGCAAAGUUUAACCUGGACCGAAUGGUGCCAGACGGCGAUUCUGUUUGAAACAAGGGCCGCAGAACUGUAUAGAUUAAUUUUGUGGUGCCCAAGGGGCUGAGGUUAUACCGGUUGAUUUACCGAACUAUUCGAAUUAAUCACGAUUAAACCCAAGUUGCGAGAUAAGGAACGACUGAGUUUAUUAUAGUGUUGAGUUCAAAGGUCAGUCAUGCGGCUAGCAUGAUUAAAGCGGUAAUCAUAUGAGAUUGAGUGCAAGAUACGAAACGCUCACGACUACAAAAGACAUGUGCACGAGUUUCUGAUCGCCUUUUCUUCAGCCAUCGCUCUUUCUUCAGUAACACGGCCCAGGGUGGUUUAGUGCGUUGAGCUCUCUCCCAUGUCACUAGUUUCACAAAUAGAUUGUCCCACCGCUACCAGAACACUUCUUCCCGUCACUCCCAGCACUAGGCCAUGGAGUUUUAUUCCCGAGGACAACCCCCUCCCGCGGAUUCUGCCUCAUUCCUAGCCGUCAGGAGGGAACGUAGCCUUAGGAGAGAACGAUGCCAAAUCCCGCAGUGAUCCUAGUAGCUACACGUCCAUCAUAAAGUCAACCUGAGAGAGAGUCAGCCAACCCCGUAACACACAGUCACACACAGUUCCAAUUGAUCAUCGUCAUCCAGCUGCCCGACGGAUUUAGGGUAACGGACUUUGCCAUUUGAUUACUUGUUUUGAUACCUUAUUGAUCUUAUUAAAUACAUUACUUUACAAUCUUAA